rnacentral:misc_RNA from 1 species
GAUGAAGAACGUAGCGAAAUGCGAUAAGUAAUGCGAAUUGCAGAAUUUCCGUGAGUCAUCGAAUCUUUGAACGCACAUUGCGCCCCUUGGCAUUCCGAGGGGCAUGCCUGUUCGAGCGUCAUUGUAAAAUCUCAAGCCUCUUGCUUGGUGUUGGGUCUUCGUCCCUCCCCCAUGAAAGGGUGGGCUGGACGUGCCUGAAAAUCAGUGGCGGUGCCACAAUGGUCUCAAGCGUAGUAGACUCUCUCUCGCUUUGGAUGACUUGUCGUGCGGCUCACCAGCCUCAUCAUCAUAGAUGAACUUCUGAAAAGGUUUGACCUCGGAUCAGGUAGGGAUACCCGCUGAACUUAAGCAUAUCAAUAAGCGGAGGA